AAUAAUAAUCGAUUUGUUGGUUAUUUUUUGCUUUCGGAUUAAUGGUGGUGGCUAAACGGCGGGACCAUCGGAAAUUGUCCACCACCGGUGACGGUGUAGCGACAAACGAAUGGGUCCGGGAAGGUGGAAAAGUAUGCCACCCUCCUAUGGCGGGAAAAGGGUUUCUAACGCAGCCGUUUGAAAUUACCAUCUAUCAAAUCUUUAAUCGACCGUAUUCUAUUUUUCCGUACACCAUAACCAUAAAGAGAAUUGUUUUUUAAAUGGCUAAAUAGAGGAUAUUUUUAUUUAAAUUUAGUCGGGCCAUUAUGGGCUAUUU
rnacentral:lncRNA from 1 species